rnacentral:lncRNA from 1 species
ACUCUCCCACCACGCACUUUUCGUAUCAUCCUAGAUCUGGAUGCCCUUCAUGGAACCUAAAAACCAGCGAGUCCCGGAAAGGCCUCAGGCAAUUGCCAAGCCGAUGGCCUUCUGCCACUUAGUUAAUGUGCACCUGGCAGCUUAGGUGGCCGCGGAGAAAGCAACUUUGGCUGCACCAAGGUCCGGCACAAGUCUGGAGAAGCUUCAGCCAGUUCCAGUGAGUUGGGAUAAAUGAAACGUGGAUCUACCAUAGACGUCUGUCCGUCUUACUGGAUAAGCGAGCACCUUUACCGGGGAAGUUAGAUGGCUGGAGUCAGCUGGCAAAUACAGAAGCAGGAAACAUUACACUGAAGCUCAGAAAAUAAUAUCCCCAAAUGAAGGCAUCAGAAAUAAAAGUUCUUCUCUGACCUUCUUUCUCUCAAGACAUUGUAUUAUGAAAAAUUUCCAGCAUACAGAAAAGUUGAAGAACACCCACAUGCCUGCUACUCAGAUUCUACAAUAAACAUUUGCUAUAUUUGUUUUACCUACAUAUCUAGUCAUCCAUCCAUCCAUUCAUAUUAUUUUUAAUGCACGUCUUAUUUUUUAAUGCACUGUCAACUACAGACAUCAGUACUCUUCACCUCCAAACAUUUCAGCAACAUAUCAUUAACGAUAGUCAAAAAUUUGUUUAGAGUUCC